rnacentral:rRNA from 1 species
GGCGUGCCUAAUACAUGCAAAGUCGAGCGAGCUUGCCUAUGAAAAUCUUCGGAUGGACAUAGAUACAAGCUAGCGGGCGGGAUGGGUGAGUAAACGCGUGGGUAACCUGCCCUUAAGUCUGGGAUACCAUUUGGAAACAGAUGCUAAUACCGGAUAAAAGCUACUUUCGCAUGAAAGAAGUUUAAAAGGCGGCGUAAAGCUGUCGCUAAAGGAUGGACCUGCGAUGCAUUAGCUAGUUGGUAAGGUAACGGCUUACCAAGGCGAUGAUGCAUAGCCCGAGUUGAGAGACUGAUCGGCCACAUUGGGACUGAGACACGGCCCAAACUCCUACGGGAGGCAGCAGUAGGGAAUCUUCCACAAUGGACGAAAGUCUGAUGGAGCAACGCCGCGUGAGUGAAGAAGGGUUUCGGCUCGUAAAGCUCUGUUGUUGGUGAAGAAGGACAGGGGGUAGUAACUGACCUUUGUUUGACGGUAAUCAAUUAGAAAGUCACGGCUAACUACGUGCCAGCAGCCGCGGUAAU